GACGAACGCUGGCGGCGUGCUUAACACAUGCAAGUCGAACGGGGAAGCGCCUUCCUUUUUGGUGGGUGUGGAUGAGUGGCGAACGGGUGAGUAACACGUGAGUAACCUGCCCCCUUCUUCUGGAUAACCGCAUGAAAGUGUGGCUAAUACGGGAUAUUCUGGGUCUGUCGCAUGAUGGGUCUGGGAAAGAUAUUGUUUCGGUGGGGGAUGGGCUCGCGGCCUAUCAGCUUGUUGGUGGGGUGAUGGCCUACCAAGGCGGUGACGGGUAGCCGGCCUGAGAGGGUGGACGGUCACAUUGGGACUGAGACACGGCCCAGACUCCUACGGGAGGCAGCAGUGGGGACUAUUGCACAAUGGGCGCAAGCCUGAUGCAGCGACGCCGCGUGAGGGAUGGAGGCCUUCGGGUUGUGAACCUCUUUCGCCAGUGAAGCAGGCCUGCCUCGUUUGUGGGUGGGUUGACGGUAGCUGGAUAAGAAGCGCCGGCUAACUACGUG
rnacentral:rRNA from 1 species